UCCCUCUCAGGAUUGCACCUGGAGAGUUUCCAGGACUCUACCAGCCAAGACUACAGGAGGGAGAGUCAAGCAGAGGCCCAACCAUUCCAUUCCUAGCUUGGGCAGUGGCUAAUGAGUGGAAGGCAAUCUGCUACAAAU